rnacentral:rRNA from 1 species
AUUGAACGCUGGCGGCAGGCCUAACACAUGCAAGUCGAGCGGAUGAAGGGAGCUUGCUCCUGGAUUCAGCGGCGGACGGGUGAGUAAUGCCUAGGAAUCUGCCUGGUAGUGGGGGAUAACGUCCGGAAACGGGCGCUAAUACCGCAUACGUCCUGAGGGAGAAAGUGGGGGAUCUUCGGACCUCACGCUAUCAGAUGAGCCUAGGUCGGAUUAGCUAGUUGGUGGGGUAAAGGCCUACCAAGGCGACGAUCCGUAACUGGUCUGAGAGGAUGAUCAGUCACACUGGAACUGAGACACGGUACAGACUACUACGGGAGGAAGCAGUGGGGAAUAUUGGACAAUGGGCGAAAGCAUGAUCCAGCCAUGCCGCGUGUGUGAAGAAGGUCUUCGGAUUGUAAAGCACUUUAAGUUGGGAGGAAGGGCAGUAAGUUAAUACCUUGCUGUUUUGACGUUACCAACAGAAUAGGCACCGGCUAACUUCGUG